AUAGAACGCUGGCGGCAUGCCUUACACAUGCAAGUCGAACGAGACCUUCGGGUCUAGUGGCGCACGGGUGCGUAACGCGUGGGAAUCUGCCCUGGGGUGCGGAAUAACUCGGAGAAAUCCGUGCUAAUACCGCAUAAUGUCUUCGGACCAAAGAUUUAUUGCCCUGGGAUGAGCCCGCGUAGGAUUAGCUAGUUGGUGAGGUAAAGGCUCACCAAGGCGACGAUCCUUAGCUGGUCUGAGAGGAUGAUCAGCCACACUGGGACUGAGACACGGCCCAGACUCCUACGGGAGGCAGCAGUGGGGAAUAUUGGACAAUGGGCGAAAGCGUGAACCAGCAACGCCGCGUGUGCGAUGAAGGCCUUCGGGUUGUAAAGCACUUUUCGGGAGGAAGAGGAAGGACUGUACUCCCAGAAUAAGCCUCGGCUAACUACGUG
rnacentral:rRNA from 1 species